UAUUUACAUUUACUGAGCAGGUCAGCCCCCUCACAUUUUGAAGCUCCUGUUGCGAGCCGUGAGUGUUUCAAAUCGUUCGAGUGGUUUUGUGAUUGAUGUCCAAAAUCAAUUAUUUACUCGUUUGUCAAAUAGCAUGAUUCAGUUGGCAAGACCUCUGUCAAGAUGGAGGGGAUCAUUUUGCUGUGUUGGAUGUCCAUGGGCUUUUCACAUAGAAGAAAUAUAUUUUGGUAGGGUCUACUGUGGAGUACUAAUUAAUAGUGAAGCAAGAGUUAUGUCUACCGGCAGGUGAUGAAGAUGAAUCGAUAUGGACAAGAGAAAAAACUUGGUUUUAAUAAAUUAAACGAAGAUGAUGAGUGAGAAAUGGGGUCAGAUCCAGUUAUUCGAUUACAACUACAAGUUUUACCUUUUCCUAAAAUGGCGAAGCCGCUUCCCAAGAAUCAGCUCCUUUUUGAAUUACCUACAGAUUUACACAUCCGACCAAGUUUCUCUUCAUGAAUUGUCUAUAUCCCUGUCAAAAGGUUGUAAAUUGUCGAGUAAUGUAAAUGAUGAACUCUGCUCUAUCUGUCAAGAUGGAGGGGAUCAUUUUGCUGUGAUUGAUAUCCAUGAGCUUUUCACAUAGAGUGUUUUCAUCUUCCAAGUGUUCCCUGUGGUACUGUAGAUAUUGCAAGAAUGUAAUGCUAAUGUUGUGGCAUCUGGAAGGGUUGCUGGAGUUGAUCCUGUAGAACAGAUAACCCAGUGAAGCAUUUGUAUUGUCAGAACUCUAGAGGUUGACUUUGGUGGGCAUGCAUCAUCCAGGUUCUAUAGUCACUAUUUUUGCCAUUAAAGUUUCUAGACAUGAGAUGCUCCAUUGUUUUCUUUUAGCAUGAACUUUUUUGUAUGUGAAUCCAAAUAUAAAAUGUUCAUAUGCAUCUGAACUUUUUUGUAUAUUUAUUUGUACAUUGCAUUAUAUGCUCUGAUACCAUGAAAGAUAAUAUAAUGCAAUGUACAAAUAAAUAUAAAGCGGAAUAUAAAUAAAGACACAGAAUUAUGUGGUUUGGACUAUGACUUACAUUCACAGGAUAAAGCUUAAAGGGCUACAUUUUGCUUUUAUUUCUUUGGUGAUGUUAACAAUAUAACAUGCUCCUACUUAUAGGAGAAUUAGGGUAGAUGAGAAUAAUACAAAUAGAUUUCAACUACAAUUAGGUAAUAGACUUCAACUGUAGCUAGGUCAUAGUCUUCAACUGUGACUAGGUGAUAGUCUCCAACUGUAGCUUGGAUUAUUGGACUCCAUAAUAUACUAUAACAUUCCCUGGGUGUGAUAAAGAUUACUUAUCAUGUUGACUGUUUGAAGGAUUACAAUAGUGAGGUUUUU